rnacentral:rRNA from 1 species
AGUGAACGCUGGCGGUAGGCCUAACACAUGCAAGUCGAACGGCAGCACAGUAAGAGCUUGCUCUUACGGGUGGCGAGUGGCGGACGGGUGAGGAAUACAUCGGAAUCUACUUUUUCGUGGGGGAUAACGUAGGGAAACUUACGCUAAUACCGCAUACGACCUACGGGUGAAGCAGGGGAUCUUCGGACCUUGCGCGAUUGAAUGAGCCGAUGUCGGAUUAGCUAGUUGGCGGGGUAAAGGCCCACCAAGGCGACGAUCCGUAGCUGGUCUGAGAGGAUGAUCAGCCACACUGGAACUGAGACACGGUCCAGACUCCUACGGGAGGCAGCAGUGGGGAAUAUUGGACAAUGGGCGCAAGCCUGAUCCAGCCAUACCGCGUGGGUGAAGAAGGCCUUCGGGUUGUAAGGCCCUUUUGUUGGGAAAGAAAAGCAGCAGGUUAAUACCCCGCUGUUCUGACGGUACCCAAAGAAUAAGCACCGGCUAACUUCGUG